rnacentral:lncRNA from 1 species
AUGAUUGAGGUUGUUUGCAACAACCUCAGUGGAGAGUGGAUAGUGUGGAGAAGGUCUGUGUUAAAUGCUACACAGAUAACACCAUUGUGGACCUUAAGAAGCUGAUUACAGCCCAGACUAGGGCUGUAACAAGAACAACCCUUUCAGGAACAAGACUCCUGAAUAAGUGGUAUACAAUUUUUAAGGACCACAUAUCUUUGGGGCACUAUAAAAUCCAGCAGAAGAUGAAGCUGGAG